UAGAUAGCUCAGUUGGUAGAGUAUGGUGCUGAUAAUGCCAAGGUUGCAGGUUCUAAUCCCCAUAUGGGAUAA